rnacentral:tRNA from 1 species
GGUAUAAUACAUCUAGAAAAAGAGCUUCUAACUCUGGUUUCAAGCGGUGAAAUUCCGUUUUUAUGCCA